AUGAACGCUAGCGACAGGCUUAACACAUGCAAGUCGAGGGGCAGCGGGGGAUAAGCUUGCUUUUCCUGCCGGCGACCGGCGCACGGGUGAGUAACACGUAUGCAACCUGCCCCUGUCAGAGGGAUAAUCCGGAGAAAUCCGGUCUAAUAUCGCAUAAAGCGUUUGCGGGGCAUCCUGCGAGCGCCAAAGGAGUAAUCCGGACAGGGAUGGGCAUGCGGCGCAUUAGCUAGUUGGGGGGGUAACGGCCCACCAAGGCGACGAUGCGUAGGGGUUCUGAGAGGAAGGUCCCCCACAUUGGUACUGAGACACGGACCAAACUCCUACGGGAGGCAGCAGUGAGGAAUAUUGGUCAAUGGGCGGAAGCCUGAACCAGCCAAGUCGCGUGAGGGAAGACGGCCCUAAGGGUUGUAAACCUCUUUUGCCGGGGAGCAAAAGCGCCGUGCGCGGUGCUAUGAGAGUACCCGGAGAAAAAGCAUCGGCUAACUCCGUGCCAGCAGCCGCGGUAAUACGGAGGAUGCGAGCGUUAUCCGGAUUUAUUGGGUUUAAAGGGUGCGUAGGCGGACAGUUAAGUCAGCGGUCAAAACGGGCGGCUCAACCGCCUGCCGCCGUUGAAACUGGCAGUCUAGAGUGGGCGAGAAGUACGCGGAAUGCGCGGUGUAGCGGUGAAAUGCAUAGAUAUUGCGCAGAACUCCGAUUGCGAAGGCAGCGUACCGGCGCCCGACUGACGCUGAGGCACGAAAGCGUGGGGAUCGAACAGGAUUAGAUACCCUGGUAGUCCACGCAGUAAACGAUGGACACUAUCUGUUCGGGUCGAGAGAGAUCUGAGUGGCACAGCGAAAGCGUUAAGUGUCCCACCUGGGGAGUACGCCGGCAACGGUGAAACUCAAAGGAAUUGACGGGGGCCCGCACAAGCGGUGGAGUAUGUGGUUUAAUUCGACGCAACGCGAAGAACCUUACCAGGUCUUGACAUCCCGAUGCUAUUCUUAGAGAUAGGAAGUUACUUCGGUACAUCGGAGACAGGUGGUGCAUGGUUGUCGUCAGCUCGUGUCGUGAGAUGUUGGGUUAAGUCCCGCAACGAGCGCAACCCCUACCGUUAGUUGCCAUCAGGUCAAGCUGGGCACUCUGGCGGGACUGCCGGUGUAAGCCGAGAGGAAGGUGGGGAUGACGUCAAAUCAGCACGGCCCUUACGUCCGGGGCGACACACGUGUUACAAUGGCAGGGACAGAGGGAAGCCACCGGGCGACCGGGCGCGGACCCCGAAACCCUGUCUCAGUUCGGAUCGGAGUCUGCAACUCGACUCCGUGAAGCUGGAUUCGCUAGUAAUCGCGCAUCAGCCAUGGCGCGGUGAAUACGUUCCCGGGCCUUGUACACACCGCCCGUCAAGCCAUGGAAGCCGGGAGUGCCUGAAGUGCGUGACCGCAAGGAGCGCCCUAGGGUAAAACCGGUGACUGGGGCU
rnacentral:rRNA from 1 species